rnacentral:rRNA from 1 species
CCCUUAGAUGUUCUGGGCCGCACGCGUGCUACACUGAGUGGAUCAGCGGGUCAGGUUGCGCGAAAGCGUUUCCUAAUCUUUAAAUCCGCUCGUGAUGGGGAUUGACGGUUGCAAUUUUCUGUCAUGAACGAGGAAUACCUUGUAAGCGCGGGUCAUCAUCCCGCGCUGAAUACGUCCCUGCCCUUUGUACACACCGCCCGUCGCUCCUACCGAUUGAGUGGUCCGGUGAAUAUCAUGGAUUGAGGAUGCAAGCAGGUUCGCCUGUCUUCAUCUUCGAGAAGUGAAGUAAAUCUUAUCAUUUAGAGGAAGGAGAAGUCGUAACA